rnacentral:rRNA from 3 species
UAAGCAUAUCAAUAAGCGGAGGAAAAGAAACCAACAGGGAUUGCCUCAGUAACGGCGAGUGAAGCGGCAACAGCUCAAAUUUGAAAUCUGGCUCCCUUUGGGGGUCCGAGUUGUAAUUUGGAGAGGAUGUUUCUGGCGCGGCGCCUACCGGAGUUCCUUGGAACAGGACGCCACAGAGGGUGAGAGCCCCGUACGGUUGGCCGCCUAGCCUGCACGAAACUCCUUCGACGAGUCGAGUAGUUUGGGAAUGCUGCUCAAAAUGGGAGGUAAAUUUCUUCUAAAGCUAAAUACCGGCCAGAGACCGAUAGCGCACAAGUAGAGUGAUCGAAAGAUGAAAAGCACCUUGAAAAGAGGGUUAAACAGUACGUGAAAUUGUUGAAAGGGAAGCGCCUGCGACCAGACUCGCGCCCCGCGGACCAACCGGCGUUCUCGCCGGUGCACUCCGCGGGGUGCGGGCCAGCAUCGGUUCUCCUUGGGGGAGAAAGGCUGCGGGAAUGUAGCUCCUUCGGGAGUGUUAUAGCCCGUGGCGCCAUGCCCCA